rnacentral:rRNA from 1 species
UACGUAGGGGGCAAGCGUUGUCCGGAUUCAUUGGGCGUAAAGAGCUCGUAGGCGGUUCAGUAAGUCGGGUGUGAAAGCUCCGAGCUCAACUCGGAGAGGCCACCCGAUACUGCUGUGACUUGAGUCCAGUAGAGGAGCGUGGAAUUCCUGGUGUAGCGGUGAAAUGCGCAGAUAUCAGGAGGAACACCAGCAGCGAAGGCGGCGCUCUGGGCUGGAACUGACGCUGAGGAGCGAAAGCGUGGGGAGCGAACAGG